CCAUCUGCGCAUGAACAUGCCUCCAAUGUGCCAUGCGAAUCGAGCGCCAUUUUGUUCUCGAACGUGGUGGGAUGGUGUAGUGGUGAGUAUACGAGUGAUAUCUAUUGUUCCAAAUUUUAAGUUGAAAUUCAAAUAAAUUAAAAUUCUAAUGCUUUUUCCACUUAAAUGAAUAGUCUUUUUUUAAAUUUAAUUGUCUUUUUGAUUAAUUUUAAUCAUUAUUUUUUUUCUUGCACAGACCGCAAUUAUAGGCAUAAUUCGUUUUCUGCUGAAUGUAUAGGAUUUCAUGUCUGCAGAUAAUGUAUUACAAGAGGCUGUUGUGUGCCAGUGGACAAGCUGGUGAGAAGCUGAACACUAAUAGCUUGAAUCCUGGUGAAUGGACUGCCUGCAUAAGCGUCGUCAUGAUUUUUCCACGUGUAAUAUGAAUGCAAGCCAGUUUGCCUUAAAGCAUCCCUUCUUGGAAAAUAUCUUCUAAUGUUUCAUCACAAAAAUCAGCCAAAAACUGUUUCUCAUGAUUUGAAAAAUACGUAUAAAGGAAGUCAAAUUUAAUUGAUAAAUUGUGCAUGCUGAGAUUGUAUACUAUAUCAUAUACAUUUUUUUAAUAUAUUUUCUGUAUCUCUAAUGUUGAGAAUUUUGAUGUUUUAAUUUAACCCUGAAUAAAAUGUUAAGUACUAUAAGCAAA
rnacentral:lncRNA from 1 species